AGUCGACGCGGGCACUUGUGCCCGAGUGGCGAACGGGUGAGUAAUACAUAAGUAACCUGGCCUUUACAGGGGGAUAACUGCUGGAAACGGCAGCUAAGACCGCAUAGGUAGGGACACUGCAUGGUGACCGUAUUAAAAGUGCUGCAAGGCACUGGUAGAGGAUGGACUUAUGGCGCAUUAGCUGGUUGGUGAGGUAACGGCUCACCAAGGCGACGAUGCGUAGCCGACCUGAGAGGGUGACCGGCCACACUGGGACUGAGACACGGCCCAGACUCCUACGGGAGGCAGCAGUAGGGAAUUUUCGGCAAUGGGGGGAACCCUGACCGAGCAACGCCGCGUGAAGGAAGAAGGAAUUCGUUCUGUAAACUUCUGUUAUAAAGGAAGAAAGACGGAUGGAGGAAAUGACAUCCGAGUGACGGUACUUUAUGAGAAAGCCACGGCUAACUACGUGCCAGCAGCCGCGGUAAUACGUAGGUGGCAAGCGUUAUCCGGAAUUAUUGGGCGUAAAGAGGGAGCAGGCGGCAGCAAAGGUCUGUGGUGAAAGACUGAAGCUUAACUUCAGUAAGCCAUAGAAACCGGGCAGCUAGAGUGCAGGAGAGGAUCGUGGAAUUCCAUGUGUAGCGGUGAAAUGCGUAGAUAUAUGGAGGAACACCAGUGGCGAAGGCGACGAUCUGGCCUGCAACUGACGCUCAGUCCCGAAAGCGUGGGGAGCAAAUAGGAUUAGAUACCCUAGUAGUCCACGCCGUAAACGAUGAGUACUAAGUGUUGGAAGUCAAAUUUCAGUGCUGCAGU
rnacentral:rRNA from 1 species